rnacentral:rRNA from 1 species
AUUGAACGCUGGCGGCAGGCCUAACACAUGCAAGUCGAGCGGAGCGGCGGACGGGUGAGUAAUGCCUAGGAAUCUGCCUGGUAGUGGGGGAUAACGUACGGAAACGGGCGCUAAUACCGCAUACAAUCAGAUGAGCAUAGGUCGGAUUAGCUAGUUGGUGGGGUAAAGGCCUACCAAGGCGAAGAUCAGUAACUGGUCUGGGAGGAUGAUCAGUCACACUGGAACUGAGCUACGGGCCAGACGCCUACGGUAGGGAGCAGUGGGGAAUAUUGGACAAUGGGCGAAAGCCUGAUCCAGCCAUGCCGCGUGUGUGAAGAAGUGCUUCGGAUUUUAAAGCACUUUAAGUUGGGAGGCGUUACCAAAAGAAUAAGCACCGGCUAACUUCGUGCCAGCAGCCGCGGUAAUUC